rnacentral:rRNA from 1 species
GAUGAACGCUGGCGGCGUGCCUAAUACAUGCAAGUAGAACGCUGAAGGAGGAGCUUGCUCUUCUGGAUGAGUUGCGAACGGGUGAGUAACGCGUAGGUAACCUGCCUGGUAUCGGGGGAUAACUAUUGGAAACGAUAGCUAAUACCGCAUGACAACAGUUAUUGCAUGAUAACUGUUUAAAAGGUGCAACUGCUCCACUACCAGAUGGACCUGCGUUGUAUUAGCUAGUUGGUGAGGUAACGGCUCACCAAGGCGACGAUACAUAGCCGACCGGAGAGGGUGAUCGGCCACACUGGGACUGAGACACGGCCCAGACGACUGCGGGAGGCAGCAGUAGGGAAGCGUAGGCAAUAGACGGAAGUCUGACCGAGCAACGCCGCGUGAGUGAAGAAGGUUUUCGGAUCGUAAAGCUCGGUUGUAAGAGAAGAACGAGUGUGAGAGUGGAAAGUUCACACUGUGACGGUAUCUUACCAGAAAGGGACGGCUAACUACGUG